AUACUGUGCGCUCGCACAAAAUGCCGCACAAAGCGCCGUCUUUCCGUUGUGCACUGCUUGACUAUUGCUGUACCAAAAAUUAUCACAGGAGCGCUUCGCGAGGAAUGCGUAGCAUAACAAGGCCCGCCUCGUGAAGUACGGCACGUUUCGUCAGUGCCACUUUUCGCAUGCGACCACGGAUUCCGGUAAAAAAUGUGCUAAGGGCAAUAUUAACUCCACGCGGCGAACAUUUCAGUUUUUCUUCGAGGAAAGUGCGUCUUGAGCAACUGAAAUCUUCAGUGCAGUGCGCGCCCUAAUUAUCGCAGUAAGAUAACUGGCUCGCACGUUAAUAACAGCCCACCACUUCGUUGUGCCACUUACCGCACAUCGUCAAGACGCUCAAAAGGCACGCUCAGCCACUGUCCGCCAGCCGUUCCGCUUUCUUGAAGCGCCUCUCGCAAUGAAGCCGGAACAGCCGCGUCUGCGGGUGCCAUGCUCUGCUGAGCAGCCGCACCAAGUGCGUGCGGUGCGCCACCCCUUGCUGCGAAAGACCAGGUUCAAAAGGAGCGGAGCGCCGGUGAGGAAAUGCUUGUACUGGAAAGCAACGGAUCAGUCAUGAAGCAUACGACUUUGCUCGUGCUGGCAGUUUGUGCGGCCUUCCUGUUGCCUGUCGUGACCGCCGGUUACCUCGGCGGCGGCGGUCCUGAUGUCACUCUGCAUAAGGACAAAUACGGCCGAUUUGGUGUCAGCGUGCGCUACGACCAAAGGGGCUAUGGUUACCUGCCGCUGGGACACUACGGUGGCGGCUACGGCGGUGGUUACUAAGUCCACCAUUCCUGGCAGCAACGACUCAUCGCAGAACGGGCUACGGUCGUCAUAUCCAUAUUGAAUGACUCGAGAUAAAUGUCCAAUUUCUGGUG
rnacentral:lncRNA from 1 species